UACAGCCAUAUCACUUUGAAAUGCCAGUUCUCAUACAAUCAUCAAAGUUAAGCAACAUUGAGCCUCGUCAGUGCCUAGAUGGGUGGCCACUUGGGAAUACCAAGAGCUGUAA